rnacentral:lncRNA from 1 species
UCUCCUGCCUCAGCCUCCCGAGUAGCUGGGACUACAGGCGCCUGCCCCCACGCCCGGCUAAUUUUUUGUAUUUUUAGUAGAGACGGGGUUUCACCGCGUUAGCCAGGAUGGUCCCGAUCUCCUGACAUUGUGAUCCACCCGCCUCGGCCUCCCAAAGUGCUGGGAUUACGGGCAUGAGCCACCGCGCCUGGCCCACCACAGUUUUAAUUCUGAAGAUGCAGUAUUAAGAGAGGAGGCUAAAGAAGCACACACUUGCUUAAUUUUUCCUUCGUUAUAUGCUGGGGAUGGCAGCAGCAGCUUGUGGCUGAGUUUCGGUGUUCUGCCUGACGGGUGACAGCUGAGCAGGCACUAGGUCCUUGCAAAACGCAGGAUGCUGGGGAGGGUCUUCACCUUGCAUGGUGUCCUGUCCCACACUGCUCCUCAGGUUGGGAGUGGUGGGGAGUUACUGUUUAAUGUGUACAGAAUUUCUCUUUGGGAUGACAAAAAUGUCUGGAAAUGGAUGGUGGUGAUGGUCGUAGAGCUUUACAGAUUUACUUAAUGCCACUGAAUUAUACACUUCAAAUGAUUAAAAUGGUAAAUUUUAUUUAUCUUUUGCCACAAUUUUUUUUAAAACCUCAGUAAAUAAAAUGCAACUUAAGGCUUCUGCUUUUUGCUUUUCAGUAAAGGAAACUAUUUUUUUUUUUAAGUCUGUCCCUUUUAAGCCUUUUACAUUCCUCAAGUAAGGCUUACCCCCAGAAUGGGGGUCAGGGAUCGGUGCCGAUGGGGCUAGAGCACCACCAUCAUUGCUACUGCUAAUGACAAUGGUGAUAGCAACAACAGCCGUGAUUGACUGCUCACUGUGCUAGCAGCUGUACCACAUGGUCCCAUCUGUUCUUCACACAGCCCCAGGGGCAGGUACGCUCAUGGGAACAUAGCACAGGGUAGUUAACGGACUCAUCCAAGGUCAUGCAGCUGGGAGUGGCAGCACCAGGAUCCCUCCAGAACCAGAGCUCUUUCUCACCACCCACGUCAGUGCCAGCAAAGCCUCCCAAACUCCUCCAAAGCCACCUCGAUAACAGGAGAGAGGUGUCCUUCACCAAGCCCGAGAGGGAGACUGCCAGGUGCCUGUGGAAUAAGCCCUCUGGUCCAGAUGAGGACUAGCAAGAGGAAGGGCUGUUUGCCUUCUUUAAAAAGAUUACAAUAAUGACCGGUGUUUAUUAAACACAUACUAUGUUCUACAAUAGCGUUCUCCAGGCUGACGUCACCUAUAGAUCUCUAGCCCCACAGAUGCUCCACUGAAAAAUAGUUUCAUAGCUGGGCACAGUUGUGUGCACCUGCAGUCCCAGUUACUUGGGAGGCUGAGGUGGGAGGAUCACCUGAGCCUGAGAAGUCAAGGCUGCAGUGAGCUGUGAUCACACCACUGCACUCCAGCCUGGGUGGCAAGAGUGAGACCCUGCCUCGUAAAUAAAUAAAUAAAUAAAUAAAUAAAUAAGAAAAAUAGUCUCACAGCCAAGUAAGUUUGGGAAGGGCCUCCUAGAGGAUUUGAAAGGAGCUGCAGUGAUGACACCCCUUCAGCUUUGUCUAACUCAGUGAUUCCCAAAUCUCUUUGGCCCCAGCAGCCCAUUUUCAUUGCAAGAUCCAUCAACAGGCCUCAGGUCUCCAAGUUGGUAUUCACAGGCUGUCUGAGCAGUGCUCCUUUUUUUUUUUUUAAUUUCUUUUUGAGAUAGGGUCUCACUCUGUCACCCAAGCUGCAGUGCAGUGGCACAAUCUCAGCUCACUGCAACCCCCACCUCCCAGGCUCAAGCAAUCCUCCCACCUCAGUCCCCCAUCACCACCCAGUAGUUGGGAC